rnacentral:rRNA from 1 species
AGUGAACGCUGGCGGUAGGCCUAACACAUGCAAGUCGAACGGCAGCACAGUAAGAGCUUGCUCUUACGGGUGGCGAGUGGCGGACGGGUGAGGAAUACAUCGGAAUCUACUUUUUCGUGGGGGAUAACGUAGGGAAACUUACGCUAAUACCGCAUACGACCUACGGGUGAAAGCAGGGGAUCUUCGGACCUUGCGCGAUUGAAUGAGCCGAUGUCGGAUUAGCUAGUUGGCGGGGUAAAGGCCCACCAAGGCGACGAUCCGUAGCUGGUCUGAGAGGAUGAUCAGCCACACUGGAACUGAGACACGGUCCAGACUCCUACGGGAGGCAGCAGUGGGGAAUAUUGGACAAUGGGCGCAAGCCUGAUCCAGCCAUGCCGCGUGGGUGAAGAAGGCCUUCGGGUUGUAAAGCCCUUUUGUUGGGGAGGAAAAGCAGCAGGUUAAUACCCCGCUGUUCUGACGGUACCAAAAGAAUAAGCACCGGCUAACUUCGUG